rnacentral:tRNA from 1 species
GGGGAUGUAGCUCAGUGAUGGAGCACUUGCUUAGUAAGCAUGAAAUUCUGGGUUCAAUCCUCAGUACCA